rnacentral:lncRNA from 1 species
GCCCUGCACGCCUAGCGUUGUCCCGCGGCCAGGCCCGGCCGGAGCGGCGGCGCCUGGAUGUGGACCUGGCUGCGGGGAGACGGGCGCCGGCCCCAAAGCGACUUUCGGUCCUCGACGCGCCCCGCCCCACCCCUGCGAUGAAGAGGGCGUCUGCUGGAGGUUCCAGGCCCCGAUUCCCUUAUCCUGGGGGACGACAGCAUCCAUAGCCUGGACUUUGUGUCGAGCCGAGCCUGGACUUCCCUGACUAUGGGCCCGGGGGCCUGCACGCAGCCUACCUGCCAUCCCCACCGCUCAGCGCCUCUGAUGCCUUCUCAUUGCUUUGUGCUCCCUGAGCCUCAAGGCCUCAAGCCGGCAGGGCGGGGACUACGUGGCCCUGCAGCCCCUGUGCUCCGAGGGUGGGCCUCCCAUGCCCCACCGUAGCAUCUUUGCCCCCCCAUGCACUGCCCAACCACAAUCGCAGCCUGUCCUACAAUAAUGUGCUCAACCCUGGCUCGCCUGGUGGCCACGCCUGCCUCGCCCAUCCAGCAGUUGGCGUGGCCGGAUACCACUCACCCUACCUGCACCCUGGGGCAACGGGCGACCCACCAUGGCCCCUGCCCCACAGCUUCAGUCCCGUGCUGGGCCCCCGGCCCCAGGAGCCCUCGCCUGUGCUCUACGACAUCCUGUCCAGGACCAUCAUGGCAUCCAUCCAGGAGCGCAAGGACAGGGAGGAGCGUGAGUGCCUGCUGCGCUCCCAGGCCGACUCACUCUUCGGCGACUCAGGCGUCUAUGAUGCUCCCAGCUCCUACAGCCUGCAGCAGGCCAGUGUGCUGUCUGAGGGCUUCCGAGGUCCUACGCUGUGCUACAGCUCUACAGAUGACCUUGUGGCCAGGCCCGGCUUCGGCGGCGCCUGCAACCCUGUCCUGCAGACAUCAUUGUCCUCGCUUUCCAGCUCCGUGAGCCGUGCACUGCGGACGUCGUCCUCCUCCCUGCAGGCUGAUCAGAACCCCUUCCGAGACCCUGCUCAGCUGGCCCAGCCCCUGCCCCUGUGUUACCUGAGAAUCUCCAGCUGGAUGUCCUCCAUCUGGUCCAGCACGCCCCAGAUGUCCUUCUUGAGGUUCUGGGGGCCAGAGGAGCCCUUCAGGGUUUCUCGCUCUCUGCUCCUCGCUGGACAGAAAAGAUCCUGGCAGCCUCGCCCUCCACCCUGGAUCCCCUCCCCACUACCCCCUGCCCCUGGGACUGGGUGGGGAAGCUGAGGCAGGAAGCCCUUUAGUCACUUGCCGAAGGCCACGCUGUUACCCAUGGGACCGGUUUUGGGCGGCCGAAGAGCACUCAUGGGGCCGGAUUCACGCCCCAGGCCCGUUCCCUCCUGCUCUCUGGUGCUCCUCACGCCAUUGGCCCCACUGCCUCUCACUGCCCGUGAGUCCCUGUGCCCGUGUCCUCCUUCUUGAACCCCUCAGCCCUCAGUUAACCCUCAGAAAGCUGGCUCGGAGAAGUCCUUGUGUGGUAUCUGGGAGGCAGAGUUUGCCGUGAGCCGAGAUUGUGCCACUGCACGCACUCCAGCCUGGGCGACAGAGCGAGACCCCAUCUCAAAAAAAAAAAAAAAAAGGCCUCACGGGACUAGAAGCGUCUUACCCUGACCUCACACCUGCUGGACAUCAGGCUGGGGAGAGAAUCGGGGAAGAGGGCAUUUUCCAACAGGACUGGAAGGCCAGUCGUGGUCCUUGGUGGUGAGAGCUAGCCAGGCCGCCGGCCUUCUCCCUGGAAGCCUGCAGGGUCCCCUCUGAUCCCUGCACCUCUGGGGGGUCACACCAACUGCGGGUGUUUCCUCACCACGCUGGGCGCUUGGUGAGCACGUUCUGCCUUGAGACCUGGCAUUUCUUUGAUAACAUUUCUUCUCGUUUCCUGCUCAUUCUGGAACUCCUGUCAGUCAGAUGUUGGGCCUUUUGGAUAGAUUCUGUGAGUCCUUCUUUCUACCUUUGCUUGUAGAUAAGAUUUUCCUUGAAUCCAAACACACACACUCUCUCUGCUUUUUAAAAAAUUAGUUUUGGGGCUGGAUGUAGUGGCUUACACCUGUAGUCCCAGGCACUUUGGGAGGCCGAGGCAGGCAGAUCACUUGAGGUCAGGAGUUCCAGACCAGCCUGGCCAACAUGGUGAAACCCCGUCUCUACUAAAAAUACAAAAAGUAGCUGAAUGUGGUGGUGUGCACCUGUAAUCCCAGCUACUCAGGAGGCUGAGGCAGGAGACUGGCUUGAACCCGGGUGGCAGAGGUUGCAGUGAGCCGAAAUCACACCACUGUACUCCAGCCUGGUGACAGAGCCAGACUGUUUUAAAAUAAAUAAAAAUAAAAAAUUGGUUUUGGA